rnacentral:lncRNA from 10 species
AGACGCAGUUUGGCGGCUGUGGGGAUUUGCCGGAAGGUUAAUAAUGUCCAUGGGCACAUCGGCCUCCUCCUUUCUUAUUCUCUCCCAAGUGUAAUUCCAGGACGCCCCCUGAGCGCAGAUUCAUCCAGGCAUUUGGCCUAGAGGCCCGCGGAGGAGAAAUAAAGUACAGGCCUGGUAGGACCUUUGAGAACCUGGGCUUCAGCUACAAAACCAGAGCCCCAGUCCUUCAUCUGCUGUCUCCUCAAGCUCUUUUCAGUGUAUUGUGGAGUUCAUUACCACUCUAAGCUCGCACGGAAGUGUACACCAGCUUCGUGAUCUUAAAAGCAAAACAAAAUCAAAUGGACUAGGAAUUAACUUGAAGCAGAGUUGUGACACUUAAGUGGUUUCUUGCCAUCAGUUUCCACGCACUGCUUUAAGAUGCAAUUUUACAAGGUCUUCCUAUUCCCUGAGACACAACAAUAUUGAAAUAGGGCCAAUUAAUAACCCUACAAUGGUCUGUAAUUGUGCAAGUGGAAGAAAGAAUCGUGUGCCUCUCGCUUUAAAUCAAAAGCUAGAAAUGAUUAAGCUGACUGAGGAAGGCAUGUUUGAAGCUGAAACAGACUGAAAGCAAGUCCUCUUGCACCAAAAGGCCAAGUUGUUAAAGCAAAGGAAAAAUUAUUGAAGUAAAUUAAGUGCUACUCUAGUAAACACAAUUGAUAAGAAAGCAAAACAGCCUUAUUGCUGGUACAGAGAAAGUUUGAGUCGUUUGGGUAGAAGAUCAAACCAGCCACAACAUUCCCUUAAGCAAAAGCCUAAUCCAGAGGGCCCUAACUCUCUUCAAUUCUAUGAAGACUAAGAGAGGUGAGAAAGCUGCAGAAGAAAAGUUGGAAGCUAGUAGAGUUUGGUUCAUGAGGUUUAAGGAAAAAAGCCAUCGCUAUAACGUAACAGGUCAAGAAGGAAGUGUUGAUGUAGAAGCUACAGCAAGUUAUCUGAAAGAUCUAGCUGACUAGAACCCAGACAGGACUCUGACUCAGCCUCCACGCAGACAACAGCAAGGCCAUAGAGAUGGUGGAGCCAUACACCGAAGGAACCUGAGUCACUCUGUGACUGCCCAGAGAAAAGCUGUCCCAUUCACCUGAACUGGACACCUUGGACUAUUAUGUGGAAGGGAAAUAAACUUCUUUGCUCUUUAGGCUGCAUCACUGGAUCUCUUCCCAUGACUUACCCUUUGCCCCAGCUAAUGCAUCUGGGAUUUGGAAAAUGCUCAAUCUAUA